UCGACCUGAGCUCAGGCAAGAUUACCCGCUGAACUUNAGCAUAUCAAUAAGCGGAGGAAAAAGA
rnacentral:rRNA from 1 species